AUAUUCUGAACCAAUACCAAGACAGGGUUUUUUGUUUUGUUUUGUUUUUUGGUUCCCUGUCUCACAUAAAUUGUCAUGAUUGCCAUUGCCAUAAAAUGUUGCCUUGUGUAUCAUUACCUAUCAUUAUCUACCAUUCAG